rnacentral:rRNA from 1 species
GUUGUAUCUUAAUGGGGUCCUGUAGGAAUGGCACCACAUUUUCUUACUGUCUCCUUUCCUCACCUUACAAACUUCUGAUUAAUGUGAAGAAGCAUUAAUAAAAAAGAAAGACGAGAAGACCCUGUCGAGCUUCAACUUCCACAAGAAAAUAAAACACUUUAAAAGAAAGCCAAAUCUAAAAAGAAGUUUUGGUUGGGGUAACCAUGGAGUAAAAGAAACCUCCAGAAUAAUUAAACCGAUAAUAAAUCAAAUAAAUAAUAAAAAGAACCAGAUAACCUCUGAGAAACAGAAAAAGUUACCGCAGGGAUAACAGCGUCAUCUCCUUUAAGAGUUC